UACGGAGGGUGCAAGCGUUAUCCGGAUUCACUGGGUUUAAAGGGUGCGUAGGCGGACAGGUAAGUCAGUGGUGAAAUCUCUGGGCUUAACCCAGAAACUGCCGUUGAUACUAUUUGUCUUGAAUAUCCUGGAGGUAGGCGGAAUAUGUCAUGUAGCGGUGAAAUGCUUAGAUAUGACAUAGAACACCGAUAGCGAAGGCAGCUUACUCAGGAUGAUUGACGCUGAGGCACGAAAGCGUGGGGAGCAAACAGG
rnacentral:rRNA from 1 species